rnacentral:rRNA from 1 species
ACGUGGGUAAUCUGCCUGUAAGACGGGGAUAACUCCGGGAAACCGGGGCUAAUACCGGAUAACAAGAGAAGAAGCAUUUCUUCUUUUUGAAAGUCGGUUUCGGCUGACACUUACAGAUGAGCCCGCGGCGCAUUAGCUAGUUGGUGAGGUAACGGCUCACCAAGGCGACGAUGCGUAGCCGACCUGAGAGGGUGAUCGGCCACACUGGGACUGAGACACGGCCCAGACUCCUACGGGAGGCAGCAGUAGGGAAUCUUCGGCAAUGGGCGAAAGCCUGACCGAGCAACGCCGCGUGAGCGAUGAAGGCCUUCGGGUCGUAAAGCUCUGUUGUUAGAGAAGAACAAGUACGAGAGUAACUGCUCGUACCUUGACGGUACCUAACCAGAAAGCCACGGCUAACUACGUGCCAGCAGCCGCGGUAAUACGUAGGUGGCAAGCGUUAUCCGGAAUUAUUGGGCGUAAAGCGCGCGCAGGCGGUCUCUUAAGUCUGAUGUGAAAGCCCACGGCUCAACCGUGGAGGGUCAUUGGAAACUGGGAGACUUGAGUGCAGGAGAGAAAAGUGGAAUUCCACGUGUAGCGGUGAAAUGCGUAGAGAUGUGGAGGAACACCAGUGGCGAAGGCGGCUUUUUGGCCUGUAACUGACGCUGAGGCGCGAAAGCGUGGGGAGCAAACAGGAUUAGAUACCCUGGUAGUCCACGCCGUAAACGAUGAGUGCUAGGUGUUGGGGGGUUCCACCCUCAGUGCUGAAGUUAACACAUUAAGCACUCCGCCUGGGGAGUACGACCGCAAGGUUGAAACUCAAAGGAAUUGACGGGGGCCCGCACAAGCAGUGGAGCA